rnacentral:tRNA from 1 species
CCGUAGCCAAGUGGUUAAGGCAAUGGACUUUGACUCCAUCAUCGAAGGUUCGAAUCCUUCCGGCC